rnacentral:piRNA from 1 species
UGCCACAAGCAAAACACCAUCUCCCC